rnacentral:rRNA from 1 species
AGAGUUUGAUCAUGGCUCAGGAUGAACGCUAGCGGCAGGCCUAAUACAUGCAAGUCGAACGCUCAGUAGCAAUACUGGGAGUGGCGCACGGGUGCGUAACGCGUACACAAUCUACCUCUAAGCGGGGGACACCUCCUGGAAACGGGGAUUAAUACCGCAUAAUAUGCCGAAGUCGCAUGACUUUGGUAUUAAAGCAGCAAUGCACUUAGAGAUGAGUGUGCGUCCCAUUAGGUAGUUGGUGAGGUAACGGCUCACCAAGCCUAUGAUGGGUAGCCGGCCUGAGAGGAUGGUCGGCCACACGGGCACUGAGACACGGGCCCGACUCCUACGGGAGGCAGCAGUAAGGAAUAUUGGUCAAUGGUGGAAACACUGAACCAGCCAUGCCGCGUGGAGGAAUAAGGUCCUACGGAUUGUAAACUCCUUUUGACGAGGAAGAAAAUGUUAGAUUUAUCUAAUUUUGACGGUACUCGUAGAAUAAGCACCGGCUAACUCCGUG